rnacentral:rRNA from 1 species
AGUGAACGCUGGCGGUAGGCCUAACACAUGCAAGUCGAGCGGCAGCACAGUAAGAGCUUGCUCUUACGGGUGGCGAGUGGCGGACGGGUGAGGAAUACAUCGGAAUCUACUUUUUCGUGGGGGAUAACGUAGGGAAACUUACGCUAAUACCGCAUACGACCUACGGGUGAAAGCAGGGGAUCUUCGGACCUUGCGCGAUUGAAUGAGCCGAUGUCGGAUUAGCUAGUUGGCGGGGUAAAGGCCCACCAAGGCGACGAUCCGUAGCUGGUCUGAGAGGAUGAUCAGCCACACUGGAACUGAGACACUGUCCAGACUCCUACGGGAGGCAGCAGUGGGGAAUAUUGGACAAUGGGCGCAAGCCUGAUCCAGCCAUACCGCGUGGGUGAAGAAGGCCUUCGGGUUGUAAAGCCCUUUUGUUGGGAAAGAAAAGCAGCAGGUUAAUACCCCGCUGUUCUGACGGUACCCAAAGAAUAAGCACCGGCUAACUUCGUG